UCAGUCACCAAGAGAAACGAUGAGAAGGCUGGGUUCAGUGACUUCAUUCGAUACUUCCAGUCUUGUUAUUAUGGACAUCAGUCAGGAUUGUUACUUACAGACUUGAGGGUUCGAUUUCGGAUUUGGAUUUCUAGUUACUGAUAUGAUCACCUAUUAUUGAAUCAACUGCUGAGUCUACCAAGGAUCAUAGAUCUAAAAAGUUAGCUUACAAUGUUGCAAAGCUAGAGUUAUCAUCAGAUGACAAGAGACACCCUGUCAUAGUUUUACACUGGUCUGCAAAUAGGUUAAGUCAUCAUCCUAGGGGCCAACUCUUUGUUUACGGAGGUGAAGGAAUUGGGUCUGAAGAAGUUCUCACGGUUCUAAGCGUGGAUUGGUCUUCAGGAAUAGAAAGUCUGAAAUGCAUAGGUCGUGUGGACCUUACACUUGUUGGUUCAUUUGCAGAUAUGGUUUUACUUCCAGCUGCUGGUGCAAUGGAGAACAGUGACACAUUGCUAUUCACUUUGACAAAUCAGGGACAACUGCAUGUCUAUGACAAGGCUUGCUGGUCUGCCUUAAUGUCCCACCAAAAGAAAAGGACUGAUGGGACUACAGUGCAGUAUAUAUCCUAUGUUUAUACCUACUACUGAACCGUGCAUGACAGUGGCAAAGCUUGCUUUGGUGGAUGGAGAUGGGAAAUACUCCUCAGCUUUGUCCAAGGAAGUUUCAGUUGACAAGUCUAUAUUCCAGGCAGUGCAAAGAUGAGGCUGAACUUGCUGAACAUGUUGGUUUAACAUGUAGCCUGUCAUCCUGCCUUUUCAGGAAGAAGUUAACUAGACUUGAUGUAAAUGCUAAUGGAUCCUUUAUUACAAAGGACUGCAUUGACCGGCAUUUGAUAAAAAAGAGCUCAUGGUUAAAGGCUUUGGUAGCUAUCCCGAAGGUGCAGCCACGAUUUGCUAUUGCCAUGCAUAGGCAAGAAGUAUCCUACCUUGAAGUCUCUGUUGAGUGUUUACAUGGACCCAAAUAUAUCAUUUGGCAGAUUUAAUUGCCUUGGAAGAAAAGGUUAUAGUUUGAAAAGAUACUGUAAUCGGUUUUCCAGGUUUCAUGCUUUGUGCAGGAUCACAACUUCUGGACCUUCAUAGUGUGAGUUCAAAUUUAUAGAAGAGUAUUUCUGUUUUCAGGGAAACUGGACUUUGGAACAUGCAAAGCUCAAAGCUAGGGUGUUUUACAGAGAAAUCAAAGUCAUUUUAUUGGGGGAGGACCUCCUAUCGUUAAGUACGAAAGAGCUUCAGAAUUUGGAGCAGCAACUUGAUUCUGCUCUAAAGCACUAGAUUGCUUAAUUGGUAAUUGUUUGAAACGCUGGCUGGAAAGUGAAAUCACCAGAACCUGGAGCUGUCAUCAUUGGUGGUUUUAUAGGACUGAAAUUUUGGUACACUUCCUGAGACAGAACUAAGUUCUCCACCUCGAGUUCCCUCUAUCUUGGAUGGUUAUAUGCAGAUUCUUAUGGAUGAGUGGAAUAUAAAACCUCCUAGUUGGGUGAGUUCUGAUCCUUGUGAUGGCUGGGAAGGUAUUAAGUGCACCAAUUCACGCAUCACUGUCUUGUAAGUUCUUGGUCUUCACCUUUUUAGUGCUCCUGGAAGUUGCUUGCUUCAUAUUUUAUGAGGAUAUUACCGGAAAAAUCUUGGUCUGUUUUUAUACAUGCAAAUGUUGGAAUGCUUUUGCAAGAGGGCUUCCAUACAUUUCGUGGGGGAUUUUGGAAUUACUUCAGUAUGGCAAGUUCAUAAUAGGAAGUUGCGACACAAAGCUCUUAGAACUGCUGGAUUGUAAAGAUUGCUCAACUCUUGGGCAUUGUAUGCUUAUGUAAGGGUAUACCCAAUAACAACUUGACGAGGUGCGCAUUGAAGUAGCCGACUACUUACAGACUCUGCUGUAGAUCUCUGACCAACUUCUAUAUUUAGAGUUAGGCUAGCUUUUGAUUAACAUUUUUGUAACAAUUAUGAACAAACAUAAUACUAAUUGCUAUGCUGGCCUUUUAGUAGGUGAAUUGGAGUAUUAUUUUGCCCACUUUGUAAACUGUUACGGAUGAUGAUUUCUUAUAAAAUACUCCAAUA